ACAUGCAAGUCGAACGCAGUAGCAAUACUGAGUGGCAAACGGGUGAGUAUAAUGUGGGAAUCUGCCUUUUGGUUUGGAAUAACACGGGGAAACUUGUGCUAAUACCGAAUAAGCCCUUACGGGGAAAGUUUUAAUGCCGAAAGAUGAGCCCGCACUUGAUUAGCUAGUUGGUAAGGUAAAAGCUUACCAAGGCAACGAUCAAUAGCUGUUCUUAGAGGAAGACCAGCCACAUUGGGACUGAGACACGGCCCAGACUCCUACGGGAGGCAGCAGUGGGGAAUCUUGCACAAUGGGGGAAACCCUGAUGCAGCGAUGCCGCGUGAGUGAAGAAGGCCUUUGGGUUGUAAAACUCUUUCGUCGGGGAAGAAAAUGACUGUACCCGAAUAAGAAGGUC
rnacentral:rRNA from 1 species